UACGGAGGGGGCUAGCGUUGUUCGGAUUUACUGGGCGUAAAGCGCGCGUAGGCGGCUUGGAAAGUUGGGAGUGAAAGCCCGGGGCUCAACCCCGGAACUGCUCUCAAAACUUCCAAGCUAGAGAUCUGGAGAGGAGGGUGGAAUUCCAAGUGUAGAGGUGAAAUUCGUAGAUAUUUGGAAGAACACCAGUGGCGAAGGCGACUCUCUGGCCAGAUACUGACGCUGAGGUGCGAAAGCGUGGAGAGCAAACAGG
rnacentral:rRNA from 1 species